GAGAAAUCCCUCAAGCCCAACCGUACGACCUACGUCCCAUUCUCUCCCAUUUCCAUUUCUCUUCCAAUCUCAAGCCAAGCAUCUAUCAUUCAUUCUUCUCAAGAGGAAAAUAGUAAGGUAAUGGCGAAAAGGCUGGAGAGCAAGGUAUUACUAUAGAGGGAGAGGCAGACGCUUAGUGUCUUCCCUGUUGGUUCGACUUUGCAUGGAUGAUGGGUUAUGUUUAUGGGUGUUGCUUUUAUGUUGGGACAGAGUCUCUUCCUAACUAAAAUAGUUAUGUUUUUAUGAACGUACGAUGGACUCUAAGAGUCUUUCAUGGAUGAAUGUUCGAAUAGAAUGUCUAUCAGGUAUUCCCUUUAUUAAAUAAUAAAUUUAGAGUACACGUGUGUUACAAAUCUUGGUAUCAGAGCAAAAGGUUAUAAGGUCUUGUAGACUUUAGGGAUGAACUAAGCUGAAGUCAUCUCUCUAAAGUAUGCCAAGCUUCGCAGCAAGUUUAAAAGGUAAUGACAAAAAGGCUGGGGAGGAAGGCAUUACUGCAGAGGGAGAGGUAGACGCUUAGUGUCUUCCAUGUUGGUUCGACUUUGCAUGGAUGAUGGGUUAUAUUUUUGGGUGUUGCUUUUAUGUUUGGACGGAGUCUCUUCCUAACUAGAAUAGUUAUGUUUUUAUGAAC